UAGGGAAUCUUCCGCAAUGGGCGAAAGCCUGACGGAGCAACGCCGCGUGAGUGAUGAAGGUCUUCGGAUCGUAAAACUCUGUUAUUAGGGAAGAACAAAUGUGUAAGUAACUAUGCACGUCUUGACGGUACCUAAUCAGAAAGCCACGGCUAACUACGUGCCAGCAGCCGCGGUAAUACGUAGGUGGCAAGCGUUAUCCGGAAUUAUUGGGCGUAAAGCGCGCGUAGGCGGUUUUUUAAGACUGAUGUGAAAGCCCACGGCUCAACCGUGGAGGGUCAUUGGAAACUGGAAAACUUGAGUGCAGAAGAGGAAAGUGGAAUUCCAUGUGUAGCGGUGAAAUGCGCAGAGAUAUGGAGGAAUACAAGUGGCGAAGGCGACUUUCUGGUCUGUAACUGACGCUGAUGUGCGAAAGCGUGGGGAUCAAACAGG
rnacentral:rRNA from 1 species